rnacentral:rRNA from 1 species
UACCAGCUCUCCGAGUGGUAGGGAUGAUUAUUGGGCUUAAAGCGUCCGUAGCCGGCUUAGCAAGUUUCCUGUUAAACUCAGCGACUCAAUCGUUGGAUCGCGGGAAAUACUACUAGGCUAGGAGGCGGGAGAGGUCAACGGUACUUCUGGGGUAGGGGUGAAAUCCUAUAAUCCCGGGAGGACCACCAGUGGCGAAGGCUGUUGACUAGAACGCGCUCGACGGUGAGGGACGAAAGCUGGGGUAGCAAACCGGAUUAGAUACCCGGGUAGUCCCAGCUGUAAACGAUGCGAGCUAGGUGUUGGGAUGGCUACGGGCCAUUUCAGUGCCGCAGGGAAGCCAUUAAGCUCGCCGCCUGGGGAGUACGGCCGCAAGGCUGAAACUUAAAGGAAUUGGCGGGGGAGCACCACAAGGCGUGAAGCUUGCGGUUC